rnacentral:rRNA from 1 species
GACGAACGCUGGCGGCGUGCUUAACACAUGCAAGUCGAACGGUGAAGCGCCUUCUUUUUUGGUGGGUGUGGUUGCGUGGGGAAGGGUAGAGUAACACGUGCGUAACCUUCCCUUUUCUUUAGGAUAACCGCAUGAAAGCGUGUCCAAUACGGGAGAUUCUGGGUCUGUCGCAGGAUUGGUCUGGGUAAGAGAUUGUGUCGGGGGGGGAUGGGCUGGCGGCCGUUCAGCUUGUUGGGGGUGUCAUGGGCUAUCAAGGCGAGGCCGUGUGGCCGGGCUGGGAGGGUGGACGGUCAGACUGGGAGUGAGGCACCGCCGGGACUCCUACAGGAGGCAGCAGUGGGGAAUAUUGAACAGUGGGGACAAGCCUGAUGCAGCGACGCCGCGGGAGGGAUGGAGGCCUUCGGGUUGUGAACCUCUUUCGCCAGUGAAGCAGGCCUGCCUCGUUUGUAGGUGGAUUGACGGUAGCUGGAUAAGAAGCGCCGGCUAACUACGUG